rnacentral:rRNA from 1 species
CUACGUGCCAGCAGCCGCGGUAAUACGUAGGGCGCGAGCGUUGUCCGGAAUUAUUGGGCGUAAAGAGCUUGUAGGCGGUUUGUCGCGUCUGCUGUGAAAGGCCGGGGCUUAACCCCGUGUAUUGCAGUGGGUACGGGCAGACUAGAGUGCAGUAGGGGAGACUGGAAUUCCUGGUGUAGCGGUGGAAUGCGCAGAUAUCAGGAAGAACACCGGUGGCGAAGGCGGGUCUCUGGGCCGUUACUGACGCUGAGGAGCGAAAGCGUGGGGAGCGAACAGGAUUAGAUACCCUGGUAGUCCACGCUGUAAACGUUGGGCACUAGGUGUGGGGGCCACCCGUGGUUUCUGCGCCGUAGCUAACGCUUUAAGUGCCCCGCCUGGGGAGUACGGCCGCAAGGCUAAAACUCAAAGGAAUUGACGGGGGCCCGCACAAGCGGCGGAGCAUGCGGAUUAAUUCGAUGCAACGCGAAGAACCUUACCAAGGCUUGACAUGC